UGGGGAAUUUUGGACAAUGGGCGCAAGCCUGAUCCAGCCAUGCCGCGUGAACGAUGAAGGCCUUAGGGUUGUAAAGUUCUUUUGUCAGGGAAGAUAAUGACGGUACCUGAAGAAUAAGCACCGGCUAACUUCGUGCCAGCAGCCGCGGUAAUACGAAGGGUGCUAGCGUUGUUCGGAAUCACUGGGCGUAAAGCGCGCGUAGGCGGCGAUAUAAGUCAGAGGUGAAAGCCUGGAGCUCAACUCCAGAACUGCCUUUGAAACUAGGUCGCUAGAAUCACGGAGAGGUGAGUGGAAUUCCGAGUGUAGAGGUGAAAUUCGUAGAUAUUCGGAAGAACACCAGUGGCGAAGGCGGCUCACUGGACGUGUAUUGACGCUGAGGUACGAAAGCGUGGGGAGCAAACAGGAUUAGAUACCCGCGUAGUCCCUGAGCGGGCUGGCAAGGCGCAU
rnacentral:rRNA from 1 species